GUCGAGUGAUGAAUCUGAAAACGCAUCACACGGUAUAGCUGACUUAUAUAAAUCCUGAAACCAAAUUUCAGAAAUCCUUGUAUUGUAGUUCCUGAGAAAAAUGUGACGAAAAUUUUCAACUUGGCUAUCAUGUGUAAAAUCAGACAAGUGUUCGGUAAACAGGAAGUUGUCGAGUGAUGAAUCUGAAAACGCAUCACACGGUAUAGCUGACUUAUAUAAAUCCUGAAACCAAAUUUCAGAAAUCCUUGUAUUGUAGUUCCUGAGAAAAAUGUGACGAAAAUUUUUAACUUGGUUAUCAUGUGUAAAAUCAUACAAGUGUUCGGUUAACAGGAAGUUG
rnacentral:lncRNA from 1 species